GAGGAGGUAAAGAGUAGUUCUUUUUCUUCCUGGAUGCUUAUUAGAAACCCUGGUUCUGUCUUUGGCUUCUGGUUUGUAUCUGGGGACUCUCCUGCUUUACCAUAAAUCAAUUUAUUUUGUUUUUAUUGGAAGCUGUCAGAGAGCUGCCAAACCUUAACAAAAUGAGGGACUAUAACGAUUUCUCCUAUGUGAAGCUUACAAUCAAGUUAGGGGUAGAGUCACUUCAGAGGAAGUUGAUGUCUCCCCUACCCUCCCCAUCCUCCCUCCUGCAGCAGCAUCUAGGCUGCUUCUGCAUGAAUCCUAAGGUUAACUUUGUGGUUUUUGGUUAGAGCUCUGCUCACAUCUUCGGAAUACUAAAAGGGAGUUGAAUAACAAUUCGAUUUGUGACACCAUCAUUUUCAUAGAGAGGAGAGAAUUCUGGGGGUCCUUUCACGUGUAACUUACAAUGAUGCUCUUGUCUCUGAGCUUCUAAUUGAAAAUAACUGUGCCAGCUACUAGAUUCUUGGGCAACCGGAAGACUUCUCCGGCACAGGCUUUACCUGUGGAAGGACGGCCAUUUCCAGGAGAUGCCCUGUGGACUGACAAGAGUUUAAUCCCUGUGUUGGUUAUAAGGAAACAGGAAACCAAAAUCAGGUGUCUUUCUGGUUACUUCUGCUUGCGUGCCACUGUGCGAUUGCCCAGGGACCAGCUCGGGAGAGAACAACAGUGAAAAGUUAGUGGGCUUUCUCUUAUUUUAUCUGCCCUAUAAAUGCUCCCUGUCCCACGUCUUGCACAGAGAGAUUCUUCUGAGGUUCUUUCUGGCCACAUACAGACUCUAAGUAGCAUGUGGUCUUUGAUUCCAGGC